rnacentral:misc_RNA from 1 species
CGCACGGCCUCCCUCACUUGGCAUGGAGCUCAGGUUAAGUCCUCCUCUAUAGUUGUGUGUUGAUAUGGCGUGCACGAGGCAAUAGAAACUAAACAGCAAAAUGGAGUAAAUAACAAGAAAAUCACCAUUCAACACACAACUAUUAAGCAAGGGGUGUGGAGGCUGCGGCGAUGCUCAAAGUGGGCAGCAAGUUCUACACAUUUGAUGAGUUAAGCAGACGGUUGGAGGAAUUUCAAGAAUUAGAACAAGUACAACUUUGGGUGCGCGAUUCCAGGACUGUUGUUGCUGCUGCUAAGAGGGCGCGCCGCAAGUCCCUCAACCCAGCUCUCAAAUAUGCCGAGCUGACCUAUUCAUGUGUCUUCGGUGGGCGGAGACCCUCGGACCAAACAAAGAUACACAAUCAAACAUCAGCAGGAGGUUGCCCAUUCAAGGUCCGUUUGUCGACAUCUAAUGAUGGCCAAGCUCUUGUUGUAAAGGAGAUUUGUCAUGAACACAAUCAUGAACCAGGCAAAAAAUUACAUGAAGAGCCUAGGCGCUUGUACAAAAAGACUCAAAAUCGCACAACUGUGCGAAAGCCCGUCCGUUACAUUGUGAACAAACGUGUGACCAGUAGUACUAACAACAAGACAAAGAGUCGUCUGGACCACACAGAGUCUCAUGUUCAGUUGGGACAGUCUCCGUUCCAUCACCUGCACCUCCACCAACAACAGUAUCAACAACAGCAGCAGCAACUGAAGCUGCAGCUGCAACAACACUUGCAGCAGCAGCAACAGCAGCAGCAGCAGUUGCGGCAGAAGCAAGCAGAGGUGAUUCAGUUGGAUUCCCCUGAUCACUUAGAUACACCUGACCAUCUGAGCUCUCCCGAUCUCUCCACCAACUUUGAUCAGCUGGGUUCACUCAAUAACUCCGUCGAUCAGUACUCGUACCUGCCACCCUCACCCAUCUCUCCGAGAAAUCUUGGCUGUAGCCGGUUGUCGGAGUGGCGACAACGGGGCUAGCGAACUUGUGGGUCGCUUCAUCUCAUUGUCGACUGAUCCAUCACUAGUUUGAACCUUUGACAUCUAACUCGACAUCAACCCAAUACCCAUUGCACGUUCCUAAACCACAUUCAUGUAGAUCUUGUCUAGCGGCUGUCCGGUUGACUUCGAGGAGGACGAACGCUUAGAGCCCAUCUUGGACCUAGAGGAGGCCCUAGAGGAAGCCCUGGGUGAUCUAGAUAGCGUAGGCAGUAUGGAGGUAGAUGCAAACCUUCGGCUG